AACCCUUCUCAUGAAGAGAACCACCUGAGCUGUGACCCCAAUAAAUACAGCUACAAACACCAUCACCCUGAUCCCCACCCACUGGUCAACACCUAAUGGAGAGUGACAGAGGCCACACCUGUGUCACGUCAACUGGCUCACAACACAGAAUACAGAUGUGAUGGAGCCAUAGAGAGAAACCACCAUAUCUGAACAACUACAGUACCCAAAUUGAAGUUUAUAGCAGGGCUAUCAAUAAUUGUGAACUCACCUAAAACUUCUUAAAAUAGGAUUCUAAGAAUAUGUAUCCAUCCCUGAACCAAAAAAAACAAAAAAUGUCCUGGGAACCAACC